rnacentral:tRNA from 1 species
GGGGUUGUGGUCUAGUGGUAUGACAUCUUCUUAGCAUUGCUCUUAGAGCAUUACUGAGUGGAGAAGGUUCUGGGUUCGAUUCCCAGCUACUCCA